UUGUCGGUCUCCCUGCGGGCAAAUUUGGGUCUGGAGGGAGGUGAGAAAACUUCAGGGCGCAGGGUGGGUGCGGAGCUGGUGCCAGCCAGCCUGGGCACAGUACCCGCUGGAUUUUGUGCUCUUAGCGCCUCUAGGUCUACCAUUGCUUCUCUCUGGCUACCAUUUGAAGCUAGGGGAAAAAACUAAAACCCCACAGGUUUUACCUUCUGAAUUUGUAGCUGUUGAUAGCUGCAGUAAAGCAGGUAUGUCCUCUGCAUUUUUAUAAUAAAGGAGAAAAUAAUGAACCACAUUUGCAGGGAAAAUGUGGAAAGCGAAGGCAGAAAAAAUGGUGCUAAGACUGAAGAAAGAUGAACUCCUUUAAAAUAUUACUCAUUGAGAUGCUUGUCAAGGGCCAUAGACAUUAAAUGACAAGAUUUCUCUAUUUUAUUUUCUAUGGGAGGACUCAUGUUUUUUUGAGUCAAGUUGAACAGGGAAUAAUGAAGGGUGCAUUUGGUGAGAGAAGAAUAGAACAUUAUUUGCUGGUUGGAAAUGAAGAGCCAAGAAGAAUAAAUAAAUUGAGAUGGCUUUUGGACAUUAUUAGAAACUAGCCUAGGCAUUUUGUAAACUGGUUUUUCAGUUUCCAAAGAUUCACACUCAACCUCGGCUAUUUUUGCAAAAGCAAUUGAUUUCAGUAACAUGCCAUUUUUAAAUUUGGGAAGCAGUUUUGAUGAUUAUUGACUUGCCCUGUAUUAGCUUCUUCUUAGAAGCACCAUCAAGAAAUCUGGAUGCAUCUGGAAGGGCAUGCAUAGAAUUGCCAAGAAGUAGAUUGUAAGGAUCUUGAAGGUAAUUUUGGUUUUCAGCCAAACUUGGUUUUGGCACAAAACUCUGUAAUAUGUUUUACUAGUUAAUGCUGUAAUUACUGUUGUAUCCAGUGCCUGAGGAUGCACAUGGCAGAUGAAUGGUGCUGUGAAUGGCCAAGCUGUAGGGCAGGGUCUCACAGACCAUGGUUUGCUCUUCUAAACUUGCUAAAUGGGUUUGAACAUAGCCUUGAGUUUACAGCUUUAAACAACCCCUAAAAUUAUCUGCUUUUGCAAAGGUGUGGAACACCUGCUCUCCCCAGUGAGGUUAGUGGGACUGAUUUAAAAUCUGCCAGGCUCUUUAACGUGUAAGUGGGAUAGAUAUAGUCUGCUGUAAUGCAAGUGAGUUUAGAUUUUGAACUGCUUGAUAGUACAAUACUCAGGGAGUACUUGAUCACUUUAAGCAAGGAAAUGGCUCUAUACACUUGGAGGAAUAUAGUUGCAAAGAUUUUAGUAUUAAACUCAUAUUUUAAAUCCACACACAUGCACACAUGUAAUUGGAUCAGAAAGCUCAGCUGUAGGUAUGAAAACGUGUGCUCUUAAGGGUCCCUUUCUACAGCUGCAAUUCUGGUGUUGCAAAUAAAGGAUUUAUUGAUCCAGAAAAACGUAUGAGUUUGUUUGGGUACAUUGAUGCUGAAGAUAUUUCUAGGGACUAUUUUUUUUUUUGUUCACAAGAAGUUAUGUGCUUGAAAGUAUAUUUUGUAAUAGUCACUGUGUUUGUAAGCUGUAAUUUCAAUAUAAAAAAAGAAUCCUCAUACCUGCAUCUGAGGAAGUGAGCAGCAAGGCUUGGAUUCAUGUUUCCUAUGUGCUGAGGAGACAUGAGGAUGGGAGAAAAGCUAACUGCACUUGGCUUCAGGUCAGGGAAUGGUGAAGAUCAAGAAUUCUGUCUGAAAAGAGCAAUUCUGCGCUUGACUGUGAACAGUUACUUUCUGAAUUUUCACCUGAAGGUAAAGUUCAGCAUAUCAAGGUCAUGUUCAAGCUCACUGGAGUUCAUUGGACCAUAUCAGAUAAAAUCUACAAGGAACAAAAAUGCUUUCAGGUAUAUUCAAAGUCAAUCCAAUGAGGAAAGAUUCCCUACAGCAUAUGUAACGUUAUAAACUUGUAUUUUGCAAGAAACAGAAGAAAGUUUCUUAACAACUGAAAAAAUAGUAGCUGAAGAAACAGAUCACUAGAUCUGAGGUGGAUAUUCAUCUAUGUUUAGAGCUGAUAUUCUGAAACAUUAUGGGAAGCUAUGAGUGAUGGUCAUAAUCUUUUUAUGUAGAUUUCCAUAUUAGUGGUGCUUUUUGAUGUUUAAGUUUUGAUUUUUUAAUCUGUUCUGUUUGGAAUGUAUUAUCCUGUUUCAAGAGUAAUGAAAGGGCUUGCAUUUAUAUUCUUUUUUAGAAACUGUAGACUGCUUGCUUCCGAUGAGAGUGAUUUAGUAGCAGGUAAUUUGAAGUCCUGAUCUGAAAUGGAGUAAGUGUGAUUUAAAAAGACAACAGCAGUAAAGUGAGGUUCAGAGUGCUAAGGAAAAAUUCAUCACUCUUCUGCUGUUCAGUUUCAUUGCUGAUAGCUAAGCAGUUGUGAUGAGAAAACUUUAGGGAGAAUGGGAGGAGGUGAAGUCCUUCUAGUCCUUUGUAGUUUUUUAAAACCAGCUGGUGAGUCAGAGCAGCAGAGGCUUGUAUUUUAGCUUUGGAGCAUAUAACUGGUUCUUACAGCAUGAGCAAUUUUUUUUGCUCUAUUCAGAAAUUGGAGGACUAAAAGUAUGUUUUAGCUCUGAGUCCUGUUUUUCUGUGUAAGACUUGCACUUACCUAUUUUUCAGUAGUCUAAGCAAUGCAGUAGCUCCCCAAAAUAAAUAACCAAAAAAGCAGACAGUGUAUUCUUUUAGUAUACUUCUUGAAAAAUCAAUGAGGCUGAACACUCUGGGGUUUUCAGAGGUACUCCACUAAGAUCCUCCUAGCUACAGCACGGGGCUAAAGAGUCCUGUUGGGAAUGCACAUUUACAGCUAAGCACAACUUAGAAUUGUGUUGGAGUAGCUGCACAGCUAAUGGUUGGGCUCCAGUUUGUGCUUGUUAUUUCUCCAGAGAGCCCCUCCCUCCUUGUAGAAACAAGCAAAACUGACAUUUUUUGAUGGAAACAAAGGACUGCGGGGACCUUCAGCCUCUGGUCUGAGUUCAGGCAGGAUUCUGGUUGCAGCUCACAGUGCCCUGUGGCCCACAGUGACAGUUGUCUUUGUCAGUGCCCAUAAGGAAAACUGCUUCAGCUUUGCACAGGCCAGAAUUCACUGCAACAACACACUGAAAUUUUGUGGUCUGUUUUUUUUCCCUUUUUGUUUAUAAAGCAGAAACUUAAUUUAACAUCCCUUUGUUUAGUGUUGCUGACAGCCAGAUAGCUAAGAAUAAUGCCUUUUGGACAAAGCAGAGGGAGAAAGCAAACCAAUUUUUCACUGCUUUAGUCUAAGAGAUCUAAAUUGUAAACAGGUUUGUUAUAUUAAAUUAUUUCAAUGGUUUUAUAACACUGUGUGGUAAUAUCAAAGAAGGCAGAUUAAUUAUAGAACAAAUGAAUGACAGUUAAGUUCCUGAAUGAGUUAAUUUUAGUUUCAUAUGGGGCAACAAAGUUGCUUAAGCCUAAUUUCUUGAGGUAGCCUGUAUAAGUUUUAGAGUAUGACUCUGUGCUUUGCCAUGAUCUUUCAAAAUGUUUAAAAAUAGACUACCUUAAAAUUUUAGAAGGAUACAUAAUUUUUUUAAAAUAAAGGGAUAAAUAGGAAAGAGUUAUAUGAAUGUAAAACUUUCAUUCCAGAAUGAAAUUUGUUGGGAGUAAUAUCUCAUGCUUUUGUCAUAGCUAAUGUAAAAACCCCAAACCUAUUUUAAGGGAAAAGAGUUGAAAAAUAUAAUUAGCAAAAUAAAAGCCUUCACAAUGAUGCAGACAAUUAUUUCUCUCAAAUAUUACAUUCAAUAUUUAUCUUAAUUGAGAAGAAUUUGCAUGAGAACCAUAACCCUUAUCUCUCAUUAUAUAUGCAUCUCUUCCAUAAAAAUCUGAUUCACCACACUUCAGAUGAGACCUUCCUGCUUCUUGGUUUCAGCUUAAUGCUUUGGAAAGAAAGGAAUUUAAAUGUGGUGCAGAAACUAAUAGCAAACGAGAAUCUGUAUUUAGAAGGAUUUCCUGAAAUUAUUCUUGUAAAAUCCUUGUCAUAUUUAAAGUCAAGUUGCACAUUUAUAAAACAAGGGAUACAUUUAAUUGAUUAAGAUGUAUCAUGUAAGGAAACAAACAGAUCCUUUGCUUUUAAAAUGCCUUCUUCCUUUAUGCAGCAGAUGGUGCUAGAUUGUGAAUAUAUGUCAAUUUGAUUUAUUUAUAGUCUGAAGAAUAUACGGUGAAAGACAUGGCAUGUACAAUGUUCAGAUAGACUACAUAGCAAACUGAUCUUUAUAAACUCAUUUGUUUUGGCACAGUCUUCUGUGGUGUGCAUGCUUUUCCUGAUGUCUCAUCUGCACCCUUCCAAGACUUUCAGAAUUGCUAUCGUGCUUAUGAAAGAUGUCAAACCUAACAAGCAACUGAGUGACAGAAUUACAGUCAGUUCUAAAAGGUACCUUUAGCUAAAGAAUGGGUAAAGUAGAGGGUAAUAGGAGUUUAGACAAACUUCACUUAUCUUUUUGUACUAGAGCUUGUACUGUCAGCAGCAUCCCAAAAGCCUGGCAAUUUUCCCAAUCCACGUCUGUGUGUAAGCACUCUUGGACUUUAUUGUACCAGGUACAAAUAUGCUACUAAAAAGGCAAACAUCUACAAAAGAGUGCAUGUUUAGACCUGCACUUUAGGUGAGCCCAAAGACCUAUUGGGGGGUAGUUAGAGUGCCUGUCUGCAGCCUGGCAUCUAAAGCUGCCAGAGGUAAGAGAGCUGCAGAGGUGUCAGUGCACAACUAUCAGAGCACAGACUGCCACAUGGCUUCCAAUGUUAUUCUGCCCUUGUGCUCUCCUGCCCCCAUCCAGCGUGAGCCAUUGUCAGAGUACAGUCAGCUCCAGUCACAUCACCUGUACCUCAGCAUAAUUGGAUUUGUUGGCUGAAGCAUUACUCAAGGAGCUUGGUGUCUCACUCUUGAGGGAUUACAAUGGACAUUUGGUGUCUAAGUUUUCAGGGCUCUUUGGAAAAUUCCAGAUGCAACAGUAUGCAAAAUAGGCUGCUUUAUCCCUUGACAGUGGGAACCUUUGUUAGAGUCUGUCUAGAGCUUAGAUCCUGACUUCACCUUCAGGAAGUGAUAGAUGAAGAAAUAUGCAAAGUUAGAGCUUAUUUGCCUCAUCCAAGACCUUGAGGAUGAAAGAGGCAAUGCCACUGCAGCCUUUCCAGAGGCCUUUCCUGGACUGGAGAAAUACCUUUUGGCAUCCUUCAGGUCCUGAUUAGAAAUUCAACAGAGAAUAAAAGCCUGCUCAAACACAGAGGAAAACUAGUAUGUAUUCACUAGGACAUUCUUAAAUGUCACCCCAGAAGUCAGGUCCUGAGGUCAGUACCUUGCCAAUGAGUCCUCAGGUUUUAACAGCUGAGAAGAAGAGAUCUCACUUUUGUGGGAUUUGUUUCCUUUGAGACAGAUCUCCAGAUAUUGCUGUGUUUCCCUGUGUCUCCUGUCCUCAGCUCUGUGGACUUAAGCCCGACUCUGUCUGUAAGUGACCGACUUCAGGGUGUUUGACACCGAGAGGCAGAUCACUCUCCAUUAAAUGAAUUACAUAAUAAUGGAAUAUUAAGGAGGUAUUAAGAGGGCUUGCUCUCUGUCCAUGAUCUCUCUUGAGUAAGAAUUAUGCUAUCAGACUGCAGUAGAGGUUUCUGGCAAAAAUAAAGUAUGUCGUAUAUGUUGACAUGUGUCUUGUCCCUUGAAUCAGUGCCCUGGGGAAGGACCUUAGCUUCAGGAUUCAACCAAACAUACACUAAUCAGAGAAGGCCCCUGAUUCCCCACCAGCCUUGGCCAUGUCCCUGGGUAACAGUGAGCACUACUGAUGUGGAGCCAGGCUCACGGGCUUCCUCUGAGGAGAGGGAGCCCAGGCUUGAGGACACAUGCUGGAGAGAUGACAAAUGAACACCAUGAGAUGUGACAGUGUGCCUCAUCCCUGCAGGAGCCUCCUCUGCUGGGAUGAGCCGGUCCUGUAGAACAAUCUUUGCUGCUCUGUAGAUCUUUUCAAUAAUUCAACAUGUGGGGAGAGUGCCAAAAAGGCUGCUGAUCCCCUGAUCUAUCCUGUUUCCAGUGGUCCUCUUUCCUAGCCCCUGGUUUAUAACAAAAAGUAAUCUGUAAUGAAGUCUGUUGUAUAGGCUGUGAAGGAUGCACAUGGUGUGGCAAUGGCUACUGAGGCCCCAGGAGAAGGAGAGCUGCCCAGUGUGCAGGAGGACCUCACAGGACAGGUGAGAUGUGUUUGAGACACUAUGGACGUGACUGAGAGCCUCCAAAAGUGCCACGCAGUGUGCGUAGAGGAGGAUGAUGUAGUCCUGGAGGCGUUUCCAGGGACAACUCAAAUGAACAACCUCCCAGCAAUACUAAAGUGAUUCUUCUGGUUGCAGAGAGGGGGCAGAGCUUAGUGUGGAUGUGGCUAAGUUGUUACCCUGUACCAUCAGCUGGGGGGGGCAUGGUUUUGGGAAGGAGAGGUAAGAACACUGCUGGAGGUGUGUCAUUUUUUGCCUCGCUCUCUCCAAUGGGAAAGCUGUCAGCAUCAGCCUUGCAGACUCCAGCCUUUUCUGCCUCCAUCCAUCCUUGCCCAUUUUUCUGAGACAGAUACAGAAUGUGGUGCUGAAAGGAAAGCAUUGUCCAUAUGGGACUAAGCUGAGAUGGUGACCACCUUUCUAAGGGUAUAAUACCUUAUUUUUUGUUGCUUUUAUUAUUAAUAUUGCUGCUGUUACUGUGUGUUUCUUAUUUAAUUGUUUUUUUGCUUUCAGUAGGUUGUUUUCUCAACCCAUAGUCUCUGCUUUUGUACCUCUCUUAUCAGAAGGGGCGAGGGAAGGGAGUGGCAGUUUAAUUUCUGAUUGGUGUUGAAGCACUGCAGUGACCAACAGGACUUCUUAAUAUCUGUUUUAUUUUCAGUCUGCAAGCAAGUGACUAAGUGCUCCAUUUCCCCAAACUCUCACAAAUAUUAUCUUUUUGAGAUUUUAUCUUACUUUACCACAGUAAGGAGGGAUUUCUUGACUUUUUCAUUUAUUAAAUUCUCAUUUUUAUCUGUUUGUGUUCAACUUGACUUAGUCAUGUUCGCACAGACUUUUAUCUUUAUAUCAGAAGUUGCCUUAACUUGUUCACCAGCUACCUGUUUUUGCAAUUUAUGGACUUCUCAGGGUAACAUUUUAUCUGCUUUUGCUUUUCAAUUCCCUGUGCCAUUAUUUACAAUCCCUUUAAAACUUCUGCUCUGGUUCUGCAAUCUUUAGAAAUAUAGAUGAGGAUCCUCUAAGAGAUACUUUUUCAAUUUUGUGUUUCUUAUUAUAAGUGGAUUCUGAGUGAAUGUUGCCAUAGGCACUACAGUACUGCAUGUCUGACUCAACAAUCUCAGCUUUGUUAAAUGAUAACAAGAAACCACCAGCCUGCGACUUUUUAAGAAAAAUAAUCUAGUCUUUUUGAAGAUUUUUUUUUUUAGGUUCUCAUGUUCUUUGGGUUUCUUUCGCACAAUCUAAAAAGUGCAUUCUCACCCCAGUGUACUCUGUGUUAUUGAAAGCCCAACAUCUUUGAGCAAAUAAUUGCCAGGUAUAAAAAAUCCUCUAACUCUUGCAAACUGUUAAGUGUGCACCAUUAGCAGUUCUUUUCUUAUUUGCCUCUUUUUGCCUUUUUCCUUCUAGAUUUACUCUCUGGCUUUCCUUUCAUUCUGCCACCAGGAAAUGUUCUUUAGCAGUUGGGAAGGAGUGCUAUCAGUCAUCUCACAGUUAUCAGGGGGCUCACCCACAGCAUCAGGCUGGUGAGGCUGUUGUGAGGGGCUUCCACCCUUGGUGUAGAGCCUGCUGAGCUGGGGAAGCUGGGCUGGUGCAGUGUCUCAGUGCUGAAUGUGGAAACGACCCUCCCCGCAGCAGCAUUCACUGCCCUCCUCUCUCCUGUCCUCCUUCUGUCCAACAGGAGAAGCAAGCUUGUUCCUUCAUGGUGGUUCCCUGUGUAUCCCAUCCCAGCUCUUUUCCACAGCAGGAAGAACCUAGCCCUGGGUCCUCUUCUUGGCCUGGGGCAAUUCAGCUGUUUCUGCUGUAACAAAACAUGUCAUCAUUCAGGAGGCCAUCCAGUCCAGCAUCCUGCACACAGCAGCGUCAGUGCAGGGUCAUUCAGGCCAGGUUGCUCAAGAUUUGGAGACUUGGUACAUGCAAUGGAGCUAUGAUGAUCACAGAAGAAUGAGAACAGAAUUUCUUGCAUGGCUGUUUAUCUUGAGAUCAGCAAGGCAUCUUAUACCAUCUCUUACAACAUAUUUAUUGAACUGAUAAAGAAUGAACUAGAUAAAUGGAAAACCAAACUGCGGGCCUUGAAAGCUUAUGAUCAGCAACUUAAGGUCCAGCUGGAGGCCAGUCACUGGAAAUGUGCCUGAGGAGGCCAAUAAUGUUAAUCAAUAACAUUUUAAUUAAUCAUCUGAACCACAGAAUCACAGAAUAAGCUGAGUCAGAAGGGGCAAACAAGGAUUAUUGAGUCCAGCUCACAGGCCUUCACAGAACCAUCCCCAAAAGUCACACCAUGUGCCUGAGAGCACUGUCCAAACACUUCUUGAACUCUGUCAGGCUGGUGCUGUGACCACUUCCCUGGGGAGCCUAUUCCAGUGCCCAACCACCCUCUAGGGAAAGAACCUAAUAUUCAACAUAAACUGCCCCUGACACAGCUUGAGGCCAUUCCCUUGGGUUCUGUCACUGGUUACCACAGAGAAGGGAUCAGUGCCUGCCCCUCCUCUUCCUCUCACAAGGAAUCUGUAGACUGCAAUGAGGUCUCCCUCAGGCUUCCGGCUGAACAGACCAAGUGACCCCGGAUGGUUGUGAUGCAGUUCAAGAGGACCUUGGCAGGCACAAGAAACGGUCUCAAAGGAGUCCCAUUAAAUUAAAAAAAAAAAAAAAGAAAUGCCAUCUCCUGCCACUGUGAAGGAACAACUUCAUGCAUCACUACAUGCUGGGGACAAACUGCCUGGAAACCAGUUUAACAGGAAAUAACUUGGGGCUUCUGGUGGACAAUGAAUGUGAUCCAGCAGUGUGCCCUCACGGUGAAAUGGCCAACACCUUCUGGCCUUGAUCAGGCACAGCAUUAGCAGCAUGGAGGUGAUCCUUCCUCUUUACUCAGCCUUGGUGAAAGACCAGUGCAAGAGAGACAGGGGCUUGCUGGAAUGCAGCAGGUGAAAGAUUAUGAAGGUGAUUAAGAAAGUGGAACAUCUUGCAUAGUAAAGAAUAAAAGAGCUGUGGUUGUUCAGCCUGAGGAAGAAAAGGCUCAGGAGGAUCUGAUCAAUGCAUCCAUAUGCCUAAGAGGAGCAGCUAAAGAAGGAAAAGCCAGAUGUAGGUCAAGAGGCAAUGGGCACAAACUGAAACAGGGAAUAGAGUGAUCAUGCAAAGAUUCCCUCUGAACACUCAUCCUGAAACUACAGCCUGGCAGUUGGGCUCAAAAGCAAGAAUUAACACUUUUUAAUGGCCUAUCUUAACCCCAUUCUUCAUAUUCAGAUACACAUUAUUUUGUUUAUGAUUUGUCACCUUUCAUGGUUCUUUUUUAUUAUGACUUUGUUAUUAUAGGCUUCACUUAUUAAAGGCUUCACUUUCAUAAAACUUCAGUCUCUGCCUCUCUCUCAGCUCUACUCACAGGUAAAUGUCUUUUGUCACACUGAAAACACCAGGUAUUGCUUAUUCCAGCUAAAGAAGACUGGUAGAUAUUUCAGUGCAAAGCCAGACAUGUAAAUAAGGUGCAUUUUGUGAUCAAACAAAGAAAAAGACAUUUAUUUGUAAAUUAGUGUUGUGUGUGGUGUAAACCCAGUGAAAAAGGUCUUAUUGAAGACCUGUGAGGUCUGCGAAUACUUUUCCAGGUACUCACAUACUUGUAAUAUCUAGCAUAUCUAUCACAGAACUUGAUCUGCAAGUUGUGAUUUUUUCUGAUUAACACACGUAAAUCUGUAAGACCAACUUCUGUGCUCUACAGCAAAUACUGGGGACAUAAUCACAGACAAAUUUAAACUUUGAGUUUUAAAAUACAAGAUAAAAACUAUUCUGAUAAAUCAUUAAAAUGUACACAGUUUUACUCCAAGCUUUUUGAUGCCAUUACAAAUAAGUGACAGUUUCACAGAAAGUUUUUAUCCACAAGAGAAAAAGCAAGGCAACAAAAUUAUGCUAAACCAGGAUGUUUAACAAUUAGCCAGGAAGAAGCCACUUUAAUAAUCUCAGUCAGCUAAGGAUAGAGACUCUUCCCAUCAUCAGUGGAGUAAGUGGCAGAUUUUCAACAGUCGAAUGAAUGUGUUAAAAAAAGUAUAUUUGCUAUACUAACAAAAGCCUCCCCAUCACCUGCAUUCUUUUUAAAAAAGUGAAAAUGACCUUGCCUUAAAAAUUAGUUAUCUUUCCCACCCCCUCAUCCCAGUACUGAUCCUUUGUUUCCCAUUGUUAGAUCAGAUCUAACCUGUACCUUCCUGCUGGGAGAGAAAGAGCUUCUGCCCUUGGGAGAGAAGUGAGAAGCAUCUGGUGUGACAGCAUGGACCAGAGAAAGGAGACACAAUUUUGAUGGACUGCCAUUGGAACUGGAAAGGGUCUCUAUCUGCUCUUCCACAUUUUGAGUUAUGUUGCUUUUUUUGUUUGGGGCCUUCUGCUGCCAUUGUGGCCCAGGGUAGCUCAGGACAGCAGGAAUCCCCUGGACAUCAGAGCCUCAGGGCUCAUGAGGAGAUGUGUGUUGCUUUACAGUCUGCCGUCACUAAACAUCUUGGGGGACUGGAUAUUUACUUCUGCAUUUCUUGUGCUUUCUGGCUGCUUUUAUCCAUUUAUGGUAACACUACCAGUAAUAGAAAAUAAUUUGACUUAAAAGAAAUAAAGUUUCCACUGAGGUGGACUCAGUGCUGACACGAUGAUAUUUAUACACCUGAUUGCAAUUUUUUCUUGAAAUGCAAGGGACUUGAAAUACAAGUCUUUCUUCUUUGUUCUCUGUAUCACUCCUGCAUUACUCCUCUACAUUAAUAAUAUUUAGUACUGAUUUUCAGCCUCCAAGAUAUCUAGAAUUGUGCACUGUGGUGAAGUAUAUAACCUAAAUUAGCUCUCUAAAAUAUGUCUAGGCUGUAAUUCAUGGAGAUUUGUGUAUCCCCUAAGAGAUGUUUUUUCUUUUUUCUUUUUUUUUAAUUUUUAUAUUAUUUCACUAGUAUGUUGCUACUGUUGCUUAUACUCAAGAAUUUCAGAUUGUACACAGGAACGAGUGCUUGACUAAGUGUCAUGAAUAACACUUAUUUCAUGAGUAGUGACAGCAGGGAGCUGUUCUUGUUCUUUUCAGAAUUUUUUUGUGGUCUUUCUAUGUCUUUUUUUAGGCUUGUUGCUAGAGGUCAGUAGUUCACAGACUUUUUCUGAACAAAUGAGAAACUGAGAAAAGUUGAGAGCUUGAAAUAAUGUGUCAGAGAUAAUAGGCAUAAUUUCUUUCUUCAUAACAGAAAGAUAGAAAUUAAUCAUUUUUCAACACUGAAAAAGUUCAGUUUGCAGUUUUCAAUAAGAGAUAUUUUUCCUGCCACUUGCUUCAUGCUGGACUACCAGUUCUAAUAAGGAACUUUCAGUAUUUGCAUCUUUGUGAUUCUUUCCGAAACACUAGCUCAUUUGUUCUUAAUAACAUUACUGAAAAAAUACCAGUAAUUAUAUAAUGGCUGUAGAAAUCACAUUUUAAAUAAAUGAAGAGAGAAAUGA